rnacentral:rRNA from 1 species
UUGGGUGCUUGCAUCUGGGUGGAUGAGUGGCGAACGGGUGAGUAAUACGUGAGUAACCUGCCCUUGACUCUGGGAUAAGCCUGGGAAACUGGGUCUAAUACUGGAUACUACAUUCUCUCGCAAGGGGGUGUGUGGAAAGGGUUUUACUGGUUUUGGAUGGGCUCACGGCCUAUCACCUUGUUGGUGGGGUAAUGGCCUACCAAGGCGACGACGGGUAGCCGGCCUGAGAGGGUGACCGGCCACACUGGGACUGAUACACGGCCCAGACUCCUACGGGAGGCAGCAGUGGGGAAUAUUGCACAAUGGGCGAAAGCCUGAUGCAGCGACGCCGCGUGAGGGAUGACGGCCUUCGGGUUGUAAACCUCUUUCAGCACGGAAGAAGCGAAAGUGACGGUACGUGCAGAAGAAGCGCCGGCUAACUACGUGCCAGCAGCCGCGGUAAUACGUAUGGCGCACGCGUUGUCCGGAAUUAUUGGGCGUAAAGAGCUCGUAGG